rnacentral:rRNA from 1 species
GAUGAACGCUAGCGGCAGGCCUAACACAUGCAAGUCGAGGGGCAGCACAGAAACAGCAAUGUUUUGGUGGCGACCGGCGGACGGGUGCGUAACGCGUAUGCAACCUACCUUUAACAGGGGGAUAACGGAGAGAAAUUUCCACUAAUACCCCAUAACAUCGAUCAAGGCAUCUUGAUUGGUUGAAAACUCCGGUGGUUAAAGAUGGGCAUGAGUUGUAUUAGGUAGUUGGUGAGGUACUGGCUCACCAAGCCUACGAUACAUAGGGGGACUGAGCGGUUAGCCCCCCGCACUGGGACUGAGACACGGACCAGACUCCUACGAGAGGCAGCAGUGAGGAAUAUUGGUCUAUGGGGGCAACCUUGAACCAGCCAUGCCGCGUGCAGGAAGACGGCUCUAUGAGUUGUAAACUGCUUUUAAACAGGGAUAAAGCACAGUAUGUAUACUGUGUUGAAGGUACUGUAAGAAUAAGGAUCGGCUAACUCCGUGCCAGCCGCCGCCGUAA